GCACGUGAUGACUUAAAUUCUUCACUUUGACCUGAAGUCUACUGAAGAAACACAGUGUCUGAGG